rnacentral:rRNA from 1 species
GAUGAACGCUGGCGGCGUGCCUAAUACAUGCAAGUCGAGCGAACAGACGAGGAGCUUGCUCCUCUGACGUUAGCGGCGGACGGGUGGGUAACACGUGGAUAACCUACCUAUAAGACUGGGAUAACUUCGGGAAACCGGUGCUAAUACCGGAUAAUAUAUUGAACCGCAUGGUUCAAUAGUGAAAGACGGUUUUGCUGUCACUUAUAGAUGGAUCCGCGCCGCAUUAGCUAGUUGGUAAGGUAACGGCUUACCAAGGCGACGAUGCGUAGCCGACCUGAGAGGGUGAUCGGCCACACUGGAACUGAGACACGGUCCAGACUCCUACGGGAGGCAGCAGUAGGGAAUCUUCCGCAAUGGGCGAAAGCCUGACGGAGCAACGCCGCGUGAGUGAUGAAGGUCUUCGGAUCGUAAAACUCUGUUAUUAGGGAAGAACAAAUGUGUAAGUAACUAUGCACGUCUUGACGGUACCUAAUCAGAAAGCCACGGCUAACUACGUG